CACAAAUUAUGUAGUUCUUCCUUGUAAGUUUGGGAAACUUCUUCACAGCCUUCUUGGUUUUCAUUUUCCCUGCAAUCAUGGAGACAAUGAUCACGUGGAAAGAGCCAAGAAAGUUAAUUUUCCGGUUGUCACUAUUGAAGAAUGUAAGCCUCGUACUGUUCGGUUUAUUCUUAGGCGGAGGUGCGUUUUAUUCUUCAUAAAUAAAUGAAUACGAUUAUAAU